AUGAAGCACAUUCCAGGAGCUUCCUGGUGGCUCAGUGGGUUAAGGAUCCUGCCAUCUGCAAGCUGGAGGACUAGGACAGCCACGGGUGUCAUUCCGUCUGAGUUCAAAGGCCUGAGAAAGCAGGAGGGUGAUGGUGUAGGUCCCAACCUGAGUGCCAAAGCCCAAGAACCAAGAAUGGCAAGAGAAGAUGGAGGGCUCAGCUCAUGCAGAGAGAGCAAAUUCACCUUCCUUCACCUUUUGCUCUAUUUGGGCCACAUGGGGGAGGGCCCCUCUGUUUUACUCAGGUCACCAAGGCAAAUGCUAAUCUCUUCUGGAAAUAGCUUCACAGACACACCCAGAAAUGAUGUUUUACCAUCUUUAUGGGCAUCCCUUAGCCCAGUCAAGUUGACACAUAAAAUUAACUAUCACAAUGCAAUGAUAACGCAGCUUUAGGAGCUCCUGCUGAGGCUCAGCUUUAGGAGUUUCCGUUGGGUGGUUAAGGACCCAACACUGUCUCUGUGAGGAUGCAGGUUCAAUCCCUGGCCUCAUUCAGUGGGUUAAGGAUCUGGUAUUGCCGUGGCUGUGGCAUAGGCCACAGCUGCAGCUCCAAUUUGACCCCUGGCCCGGAAACUUCCACAUGCUGCAAAAAAAAAAAAAGAAUACAAAAAUAAUGUGGCCUUAAAAAGGAAGGAAAUCUUGACACAUUACACAAUAUGGAUAAACUUUGAGGAGAUUAUGCCAAGCGAAGUAAGCCAGUCCCGAAGGGAGAACAAUGUAUGAUUCCAUUUAGAUGAGAUGGCAUAAAGUAGUGAAAUUCAUAUAUAUAGAAAGUAGGCUGGGGGCACUGGGCGAAGUGGAAUUGUUUAAUGGAUACAAUUUCAGUUCUGCAAGAUGACAAAGUUCUGGAGCUUUGUUUCACAGCAAUGUAAAUGUAAUGCUACGGAAAUGUACUCUUAAAAAUAGUUAACACGAGGAGUUCCCCGGUAGCACAGCAGGUUACGGAUCUGGUAUUGUCACUGUAGUGGCUCAGGUCGCUGCUGUGGCCCUGGUGGCUGCUGUGGUGUGGGUUCGAUCCCUGGCACAGGAAAUUCCACAUGUCGAGGGUGCAGCCAAAGGAAAAGGAAGAAGGGACUCUGAAGAGGCAUGAGGAUCCUUGGAGUACGAUGGAUAUGUUCACUGUCUUGAGAACGGCGUGGUUUCAUUUGUGUAUAUGUAUCAAAACAUAGCAAAUUAUACAUUUUAAAUAUUUACAUAUUAUUGUAUAUCAACUAAAUAUCAAUAAAGCUAAUAUAUACCUUAUAUAUUUAUACAUAUACGUACACACACAUCCAUAUAUAUCCAGGUUCAUGAGGCUGUUAGUGAGUCCAUGAGCAUUUUUUUACCGCUUUCUCAACACCCUUUUUAGCCUCCAUUCAUUUGCCAAAGGGUUUGCCCCCUGCGUGCUGUUGGAUAUUCAGGAAAGGGACCUCAUGUUUGCAGAGUACCACUGACUUUUGCAGGAAGGGAUGUCAGGCACUAGCAGGCAGAUCCCAGGGAUUUGCCACAACAUUCAGUUGUCAGGACCAAUGGCUGGUCUCAAGGGCUUCCCUGCCCACCUUGUGGCCUCCUGCAGCCCAGUUCUAGGGCUUCUGUGGGAGAAGAAGGAGAGCGCUGGGGGUCAGGAUUAAGAGGCUGAGCCUUGCUUCCAAGGAGCUCACAGUAGGGUAGGGGAGAAAGCCCAGAAGCCACAUGCUACUAGUUCGGGGAAAGACUGCUGGAUGCUCCUCCAAGACCCCAUAAGAGCCUGCAGCUGGACACCUGGUUCAGCAAGAGUCUUCCCAACACUGAAGAUGCUUGGCUAGAAUACUGAUGGAUGAAGGGGAGUAGCAAGAUAGACAGUGAGCAGGGCAUUCCAGGCAGAGGGAAGAGCAUUUAGGAAAGCUUGCAAUCACCAGAUGCAUUCUAGCAACUCCAAGUAACUCCACCCUUGAGGGAAGGCUAAAAACCAGUAACCCAUGAGGUAACCCAGCUAUUGAUCUCUUCUCCCCUCCAUUCCUCCUUCAAUACUGUUGCUAGAUUUAUUUUUCUAAAAAAGUUUUGGAUACCCGAUUUUUUUUUUUUUUUUUUUUUUUGCUUUUUUUUUUCAGGGCUACACCCGCAGCAUGUGAAAACUCCCAGGCUAGGCCUACACCACAGCCACAGCAACGUGGGAUCCGAGCCGAGUCUGUGACCUACACCACAGCUCAGUGAUAGCAACACUAAGAUCCUUAACUCACUGAGUGAGGCCAGGGAUCGAACUCAUAUCCUCAUAAAUCCUAGUCAGGCUCCUUAACCACUGAGCCAUGAAGGGAACUCCCUCCCCUGACUUUUAAAAUCUGUUUGCCCAACAUCCAUUCAUGAUCAAGACCCUUGCCAAAGUGGGUAUAGAGGGAACAUUCCUGAACAUAAUCAAAGCCAUUUAUGAUAAACCCACAGCAAAUAUAAUCCUCAAUGGGGAAAAACUGAAAGCCUUCUCACUCAAAUCUGGAACAAGACAGGGAUGCCCACUCUCACCACUGCUCUUCAACAUCGUUUUGGAAGUC
rnacentral:lncRNA from 1 species